UAGCUCAAAUGGUAAAGCAUCUGCCUACAAUGCAGGAGACCAGGGUUUGAUCCCUG
rnacentral:tRNA from 1 species